rnacentral:lncRNA from 1 species
GCUGCAGGUGCGGCUAGCAGCUUGACCGGCGGCACGACUCAACACGUGCGAAGCCUAGACAGGUCUCGUCACCGGGCUCACGGUUCUGUAAAAUGUCCCCCAGGAUUGUUUCUGGGUUCUUCUGCUAGAGUCUGACACUACUGCUUCGUCGCCGUUUCAUGGAACCAGGCUGCCAACACAAGCAUGCAGAGCAACUGCCUUUCCCAGUGUGCUGUGUGUGAUGCGCUUGCAUUGAUCUGCAAGUGAAGAGCUCCAG